rnacentral:rRNA from 1 species
CCUACGGGAGGCAGCAGUGAGGAAUCUUCCGCAAUGGGCGCAAGCCUGACGGAGCGACACCGCGUGGAGGACGAAGCGUUUGUUCGUGUAAACUCCUUUUUUCAGGGAAGAUAAUGACGGUACCUGAAGAAUAAGAAGCAGCAAACUACGUG